rnacentral:rRNA from 1 species
GACGAACGCUGGCGGCGUGCUUAACACAUGCAAGUCGAACGGAAAGGCCCUGCUUUUGUGGGGUGCUCGAGUGGCGAACGGGUGAGUAACACGUGAGUAACCUUCCCUUGACUUUGGGAUAACUUCAGGAAACUGGGGCUAAUACCGGAUAGGAGCUCCUGCUGCAUGGUGGGGGUUGGAAAGUUUCGGCGGUUGGGGAUGGACUCGCGGCUUAUCAGCUUGUUGGUGGGGUAGUGGCUUACCAAGGCUUUGACGGGUAGCCGGCCUGAGAGGGUGACCGGCCACAUUGGGACUGAGAUACGGCCCAGACUCCUACGGGAGGCAGCAGUGGGGAAUAUUGAACAAUGGGCGGAAGCCUGAUGCAGCAACGCCGCGUGCGGGAUGACGGCCUUAGGGUUGUAAACCGCUUUCGCCUGUGACGAAGCGUGAGUGACGGUAAUGGGUAAAGAAGCACCGGCUAACUACGUG